rnacentral:tRNA from 1 species
GAUGGCUCAGUAGUAGAGUGCUUGCCUUGCAUGCAUGAGGCCCUGGGUUCGAUUCCUCAGCAUCA